rnacentral:rRNA from 1 species
AUUGAACGCUGGCGGCAGGCCUAACACAUGCAAGUCGAGCGGAUGAAGGGAGCUUGCUCCUGGAUGCAGCGGCGGACGGGUGAGUAAUGCCUAGGAAUCUGCCUGGUAGGGGGGGAUAACGUCCGGAAACGGGCGCUAAUACCGCAUACGUCCUGAGGGAGAAAGGGGGGGAUCUUCGGACCUCACGCUAUCAGAUGAGCCUAGGUCGGAUUAGCUAGUUGGUGGGGUAAAGGCCUACCAAGGCGACGAUCCGUAACUGGUCUGAGAGGAUGAUCAGUCACACUGGAAGUGAGACACGGUCGAGACUCCUGCGGGGGGACGCAGUGGGGACUACUGCACGAUGGGCGAGUGCGUGAUCCAGGCAUGCCGCGUGUGUGCAGAAGGUCUUCGGCUUGUAAAGCGAUUUAAGUUGUGGGGAAGGGCAGUAAGUUCAUCCCUUGCUGUUUUGACGUUACCAGCAGAAUAAGCCCCGGCUAACUUCGUG